rnacentral:tRNA from 1 species
UCCCCUAUAGCUCAGUCGGUAGAGCAACGGACUGUUAAUCCGUGAGUCGUUGGUUCAAGUCCAACUGGGGGAG